CGUAUAUAUGUAUAUAUGCUUGUGUAUAGAUAUUGCUAACCUCGUGUCUCUCAUACAUGUCUCUGUCUUCUGAAGAAUACCCUGGAUUUGUUUUUUCCCCUGCCUGUGUACCACCUCCUAUACUGUUUUCAAGGACAAAUGAAAACAAUGACAAGGUGAACUGAAAAAAAGACUCCCCUCAAUGCUUGGAACAGAGAUAGUAUUUUUCUCCAACCACUUGUUUCAUUGUUUUGGACUCUACUCUGAUCUGCAAAACUUCCUGAAGAAGAAGUUGCCUGGAUCCAAGCCAUAGAUGGAGACAUGGGAGAAACCAGCAUAUAUAGAUUCAUUGCUAGACCAAACCCUUCCAUGUAACAUAAUAUUUUAAAUUAUUACUAGUAUUUCCUUCAACAGUUCUGACUUCAAAUGUCAAUGUUCUUUCUUUCAAGUAGGUUGAGAUCAAGUAUAUUUAUCAUUCAGCCUCACAAGUAGUGAUUAUUUUACUUUUCUCUUUGCCUUCACAAUUAAUCAGUAAUGAUUCUAUAGACUUUCGGUCGUACACACCUCUUGUCAAUAUAACUUUAUUGGGACAUAUUUUACAUAUCAUAUAAUUCACUUAUUUCAAGUGUACAAUCAAUACAAAAGAGUAAAUUUACCAAGUUGUGCAAUCAUCAAUAUAAAUUAGUUUUGUAUUUCCCCAAUAAGAUCCCUCAUGCCCAUGAACUUUUAAUCUUUGCUCCCUCGCUCUGCCUCAGGCAGACAAUAGUUGUCUCUCUGUCUCUAUAGAUUUGCCUUUUCUGGACAUUUCAUAUAAAUAAA
rnacentral:lncRNA from 1 species